rnacentral:rRNA from 1 species
CCCUUAGAUGUUCUGGGCUGCACGCGCGCUACACUGAAGCUAUCAACACGUUUUCCCUCCCUGAGAAGGGCGGGUAACCUUUUGAAUCAGCUUCGUGGUAGGGAUCGGGGCUUGCAAUUGUUCCCCGUGAACCAGGAAUUCCUAGUAGACGCGAGUCAUAAGCUCGCAUCGAUUAAGUCCCUGCCCUUUGUACACACCGCCCGUCGCUACUACCGAUUGAACGUUUUAGUGAGGCAUUUGGACCGACGCAUCUCAGUAUAACCGCUGGUUUGUGUUGGAAAGACUUCCAAACUUGAGCGUUUAGAGGAAGUAAAAGUCGUAACA